UGUCCUUCUAAAAUUAUUCCAUUGGUACAAACCCACCAUAUUGAGGUCCCUAAGUAUCGUGGAGGCAUCGUUGGAGCGAUCAACCUAUUAUUUUUCAUCUUUUGAAAACCCUAGGCUAUUGGAAGUAGAAGAGAAAAAGAUCGUGGGCAGCCCGAAGCCUAGUUUGGACUUAGCUUGAGUUGGAUCAUAUUGGAGAGCGUUUGAGGUACAGACGCACAGCCUGGUGAUCCACCGGUUUAGGACACCCCCUUCUGCUAUUCGGAGUGCUCCUCUCAUUCCGGAGCUUAUAUUUUUGGUAUAUAUAUUUGUUAGUGCAUUUAUAUAUAUUCGUUCAUGGGUACGGCGGGGCCCUGUCCCGUCAUAUGAUUCUGUCGGUCUGUUUAGAGGUCUGU